rnacentral:rRNA from 2 species
CUUAUCCUUUGUUGCCAGCGGUCCGGCCGGGAACUCAAAGGAGACUGCCAGUGAUAAACUGGAGGAAGGUGGGGAUGACGUCAAGUCAUCAUGGCCCUUACGACCAGGGCUACACACGUGCUACAAUGGCGCAUACAAAGAGAAGCGACCUCGCGAGAGCAAGCGGACCUCAUAAAGUGCGUCGUAGUCCGGAUUGGAGUCUGCAACUCGACUCCAUGAAGUCGGAAUCGCUAGUAAUCGUGGAUCAGAAUGCCACGGUGAAUACGUUCCCGGGCCUUGUACACACCGCCCGUCACACCAUGGGAGUGGGUUGCAAAAGAAGUAGGUAGCUUAACCUUCGGGAGGGCGCUUACCACUUUGUGAUUCAUGACUGGGGUGAAGUCGUAACAAGGUAACCGUAGGGGAACCUGCGGUUGGAUCACCUCCUUACCUUAAAGAAGC